UGCUAUACAUGCAGUCGAGCGAAUCUGAGGGAGCUUGCUCCCAAAGAUUAGCGGCGGACGGGUGAGUAACACGUGGGCAACCUGCCUGUAAGACUGGGAUAACUCCGGGAAACCGGGGCUAAUACCGGAUAAUAUCUAUUUAUACAUAUAAUUAGAUUGAAAGAUGGUUCUGCUAUCACUUACAGAUGGGCCCGCGGCGCAUUAGCUAGUUGGUGAGGUAACGGCUCACCAAGGCGACGAUGCGUAGCCGACCUGAGAGGGUGAUCGGCCACACUGGGACUGAGACACGGCCCAGACUCCUACGGGAGGCAGCAGUAGGGAAUCUUCCGCAAUGGACGAAAGUCUGACGGAGCAACGCCGCGUGAGUGAUGAAGGUUUUCGGAUCGUAAAACUCUGUUGUUAGGGAAGAACAAGUAUCGGAGUAACUGCCGGUACCUUGACGGUACCUAACCAGAAAGCCACGGCUAACUACGUGCCAGCAGCCGCGGUAAUACGUAGGUGGCAAGCGUUGUCCGGAAUUAUUGGGCGUAAAGCGCGCGCAGGCGGUUCCUUAAGUCUGAUGUGAAAGCCCACGGCUCAACCGUGGAGGGUCAUUGGAAACUGGGGAACUUGAGUGCAGAAGAGGAAAGUGGAAUUCCAAGUGUAGCGGUGAAAUGCGUAGAGAUUUG
rnacentral:rRNA from 2 species